rnacentral:rRNA from 1 species
AUGAACGUCCCGAGAACGUCUACUUCCACUACACCACAUCGAACUCGAUCCGCUCCGAAAAAUGCACGCUUCAAAGGUAUAACCCCGAGACGACGCCGUGGAAGGAAUGCAUGUGUGUUGUAUGAGAUGCCCGUGUUUGCACCGUGCCCGACUUGUUCGUCGCACAUCGUCACUCGUUUCCUUGCCACCGUCAUGUGGGACACCCAGUAUCCGGGAUCACUCCCCAUUGCUCUUGCACGUUUCCAUCACCCCACUUGUUCCUUGGACCGAGUUAUCAGAACCGGGAUGUUGCCAUGGCGCCAUGUCCAUUUUCACCGCCGUGGCACCAUUCCCGUUUCACCGUCGUGGCACCCUUUUGUUCCGCCUUGGCGACAAAUGCUCUAA